rnacentral:lncRNA from 1 species
UCUUUUGUAAUGAUUAUAGCGACAUAGUUGCUGAUGUCCCUGAUUAUCCUGUUCAUUUUGAGGUCUUUAAGUUCAUUGAGGAGGAGCAGAAGUGGGAUUGGGUAAGCGACAUUGGCGACAGAGUGUUGUUUGUGGGUGAUGACCGCACCUUUUCUCUCUCGUCUACCGACUUCCCUGGAUUCAAGGGGAACUGCGUUUAUUUCACCCAAGACUGUUUCUGUGAAGAAGAUGAUGAUCGUCCCGGGUUUGAUGCUGGCAUAUUCGAUUUAGAGGAGCGCAUUGCUGGGCCACUAUCGGCUUUCCCAGGGUAUUCUAAGAUCUUUUGGCCACCCCCAGCUUGGCUUAGGCCACAAAGAAGCUAAAUGCAAGUAUGGACUAUUCUAGUUUUAAAAUCUCACUGGUUUUCUCCAUUUCUAACAGGAUUCUUGUUGUUGAUUUUCCAUUGGCACUGAGAAUAGCCUAAACAGGGUGACUUGUAGACCUUUUAUUUUGUCAUAUAUCUAUAUAUAUCUGCUAUAUAGAGCAUAAUAUCUCAUUGAAAUCAUGUAUACUUUUCAGUUUCUUUGUGUAUAUUUAUACAAAAUGUCCACUGACUUGUCUUCCUGAAUUGGACACUAAGUAAUCGAACCAAGGCUUGCAUGAAAUUUAAAUAUGGAUAUGCAGAACAUUAUCAAGAUUUUGCACUUGUGAUAUGAAUGCAUUUGUUGCCAUGGUUUAGAGGAUAUAAUAUCUCCUCUCUCUUUUUUGAUCCUUGCAGGUGAGGUUUUGAAAGAUUUUCUGUUUAUAUGAAAUGGUAAGCAGCUCCAUAUUGAAGAAACAACUGUUUUUUUAUUCUAUAACUAAGCAUUCUUGUCUGGAUAUGAUCUUUGCAGGUAAGCUGUCAAAAGGGUAUUUUGCAGUUGUAGAUAUGGAAUGCAGUGGGUAGCAUUAAGCUUUAGUUCUUUUUUGGGCUUUGGUUUCAGCUAAGUAGAUGGUGCUUCUGAAUUUCUGGAGUUUUUGGAUACUAUAAUGGUUUCUUUAGUUCAACUUUUAAGGCCUGUGAUGUUAUGCUUGGUUUCUUAGUAUUAGACUGAAAUUUCCUAUGAUUUUUAACUCUCAAGAGUGGCAGACACAAGGUCUAAAGAAUGAACAUGGAGGAGUAGAUGACAUGACUUUGUCAGGCAUCUAGUUCUCCUGUGCCAUUGUCGUGAAGGAACAGAUUUUAAUCUAUUUUCCAUGGAGAAGAGUUGCUUUGUCGUUAUAGGUGCCAGUAAUUGAAAACAAAGAGACAUCUAAAAAAAAUUAGUUGAUUAAAAGGGAUGAAAUGAUUUCAAAUUUGUAAAUCUACUUUUUUCCGAUAUUGGAACUCAUUUUUGAAAUAAAUGUUAUAAAUCGGGAGUUAUUUUACCCCUUUUAAUCAAUGAGUGAGUUAAUAGUUUCAAAACCAUAAAUAUGGAGAGAUAAGUGAGUGAAAAAAAAUUUAGAGUGCAUUUGAUAGCGAUUGUUUUAGAAAAGUCGGAAACACUUCUUAAAAUCACUAUUGCAUGUAUUCUUAAAUUAAAAAAAGUUUUAUAACAAAAAAAAUUGUGAGGGAGAAAAAUGACAAAAUGAAAUAUGAUAGGUAAUAAUGGAUAAGGUAAAAUGUAAACAAAAUCUAAUAGAUUGUAAGAACAUUUGUGGGAUAAUAUAAUUUUUUUAAAAUAAAUUUAAAUUUUGAAAAUUACAAAUAUAAUUUAACUUGUCUAUUUUAUAAAAUGGCAGUAUAUUUAAUAUGACAUUUAUGGAGAUUUUGAAAUCUAAUCAUGGUAAAGAAAUAUAUUUUUGAAUAAAAUAAUUUUCAUCUUUGAAAUUUUUUACAUAUGAGAAAGCAUAUUAAAAAUCAAAACAAAGAUAUUGUUAGGGAAGUGUUUUAGAAAAUGGUUUUUUAUAAUUGUUUUUAAAAACUAUUUUAUAAUAUUUGUAAAACAAGUAUUUUUACUGUUUUUUAUUUUAUUUUUAAGUAUUUUUUAAAAUUAAAUAUUAUCUAUGUACUUUUUUUAAUUAUUUUUGAUAUUUAUAUAAUUAUUUUUUACAAUAAAUAAGUGAAGUCUACUAAAACUAACUAAUAUAUUUUAUUAAAAAUGUCUUUUUAUAUAUUUUAAGAUAAAAAAUUUAGGUUUAUUUUGUAAUUAUUUUUAAAAAUAAUUUUGAAAAACAGUUUUUGAAAACUGUUAAUCAAUGUUUUAUAAAAUAAAAUUUUAUUUAAAAACUUAAAAUAUUUUAAAAUUUAAAAUAAAUUUUAUGUUUAAUAUUUUAUUUUUAAUAAGCACAAUCAACAUCCCCGAUAUUUAGAUUCCAUGAAAAAAAAUAAUAUAACGGUUUGUACUUGAAAGUUUUUUCGAUUUAUAUAUAUAUCUUCGAAAAUAGUGAGUUCUGAGUUGACAUAUAUGUUAUGACUUAUGACUUGUUAAUUUGAAAUAACAUUAAUUUGAAAAAAAUAUAUAAAAAAAAAUAUUUUCGUUAAAAACACGAAUAGAAAAAAAAGAUUAAAAAAAAUAAAUCAUCUUGAUUCCUCCUAAAAAACAUAUAAACAUAUGAUUAAAGUUCAUUAAAAAUUUUCAAAUAAAAGAUUUAUAUUUAAGAGUUUUUUUUUCUUCUUAAAAUAGAUUUAUUAAUAUAAUUAUCUGUGACCAAAUUUAUUUGAAAAAGAUUUUUAUAAAAGCUUUUUAAGAUUGUUUUGUAUUUUUAUUUAAUAUUUGAAUGAUAUUUUUCAUUUUUCAUUUUCAUUUUUAGAAAAAUGAAUUCAAAAAUGGAAACGUGGAAACAUCAAAUUGGUAUUUUAAUGAAAAAAAAUUAAAUAAAAAUGUAUUUAUAUAUGAUCCGACUGUUUGCCUGCCUCUAACUGUCCCGCUAAAUCUGCCGAAACGUGUCCAUCCACCCCACGCCACCAUGCAGGCGGCCUCUUUCUUCUGAUUGCCGGUCACCUCUCCGUUCUAAGGUUUGCAAAGCAAGGCAGAAAAUGGAGAGCGAUACAGGGCAGUGGUCCCAUCUCCCGAAGGAUCUGCUAGCGAAGAUCGCCGGACGCCUCGACACCAGCAUCGAUUUUCUCCGUUUCCGCGGCGUCUGCUCUUCAUGGAUGUCGUCCGUUUCCCCUACCUUUCCCAGCAAAAACCCCCUCUUGUCUCUGAAAAUCCCGUACCCCAUUGACUCCAUUGCAAACCUCAACAUCAGUGACCCCGACACCCCCAACCCUCGCGUCUCCUUUUCCCUCAUCGAGUCCACUCUCUAUUAUCUUCAACCACUCCGCCAAACCCCAGAUUCCAAAGAGGCCCUGUUGGUUAAGUUGGAGGAGCCUAAACCAGAGAAAGUCCGUCUUAUGGACACCUUCUCCAGACGCGCCAUCCAGCAUCUGCCCAAAAAUUUCCCCAAGGUUCUCAAUACCCUUGACUUUCGAGUCCGUGAAGUUGGUAAAACUUAUGGUCUUCGUUUCUUUGAUGUUCGGGGUAAGCCUAUUACUAGGUUUGAGUUCAAAUCUAUUUUGAUUAAGAAAGUAAUUAUGUUCUCGAAGGGUGAUGAGUAUGGUUUGAUGAUGAUUCGUUUUAGAGGGGGGCUGGCUCUAUGGAGAUUGGGGGAGAAGAAAUGGAGUUUGAUAGAUGAUGGAGCAGAGAAAUCUCAUUUUGACGAUGUUAUAUACUAUAAGGGGAGAUUCUAUGCUAUUGAUUAUAUAGGAAGAAUCGUGGUGAUUGAUGUUGACUCUCUGAAAGCCACAGAGCUUGCGUCUCCGGUGCAUGGUAGCAGGGGUAAUCACAGGCAUUUUGUGGAGUCAUUUGGGGAACUGUUUUUGGUUGAUAAGUACGUAGUAACCUUUUGUAAUAAUUAUAGCGACAUAGUUUCUGUUGUCCCGGAUUAUCCUGUUCAUUUUGAGGUCUUUAAGUUCAUUGAGGAGGAGCAGAAGUGGGAUUGGGUAAGCGACAUUGGCGACCGAGUGUUGUUUGUGGAUGAUGACCGCACCUUUUCUCUCUCGUCUACCGACUUCCCUGGAUUCAAGGGGAACUGCGUUUAUUUCACCGAAUACUGUUUCUGUGAAGAAGACUAUGAUCGUCCCGGGUUCGAAGCUGGCAUAUUCGAUUUAGAGCAGCGCAUUGCUAGGCCACUAUCGGCUUUCCCAGGGUAUUCUAAGAUCUUU